UCCGACUUUCAAUUGUUUUCUCAAACCAAAUGAAACAGACGCUUACUUUAUUUUAAAGACAGAUAGAAUACAAAUGUCCAUCGUUUGAUAAAUGGCACUUGUAACGAGUAUAUAAUAUAACCCUUAUUUAUAUACACAAGGUUCCCAGAUUUUGGCUCUAUACAAACAAUAUCAUAGUAUUGUUCGUCCACACCAAUACAUGUUGAUGUACAUACCAUUCAUACAUUCUCCUCAAGAGAAGGUCUACCGUUAGAAGCCUUGAUAACUGCUUAUAUUACGUGUGAUUGGGGACCUGUUGAUGAAUACAAAUUAAAAAUGCAACAAAGCAAAACUACGCAUUAUCUGUCAAUUUCUGCUGACGAGUUCUGAUUAAUAAACCAUUGGCUGUGGAGGAGGCUGGCGAGACAUGAGACUAUGAAGUCUCUGACCUUCCGUGAUCAGUACUAUCCCCACGCCAGGGUGAGAAGCGGAAACAUGGACCUCGAAGUCCAAAUCUAUCAAAAGUCUUUUUUUAUUGUGGUCAACCCCCUUAGAGGACUUGAAUGAACAGCUGCAACUCAAAGUAGGCCAUGUAUGUCAUUCACGCUCUUUUUCCCGCGACAUAUCAUUUCUCUUUCGGACACCCUCGGCCGUCAUUCUCUUUAUGGCUGCAUGCUUCAAAGCGUUUGAUGGAUGUGAAAGGUGCCGACUCUGGCCUCGUGCUGCCCAGCUCUGUAGUUAGGUAAUACAACGUCUGGUCCGUCACCCCGGGACAAAUUCUGUCAGCGGCAAUGGCCCUCCUGUCUGACCACAGGUAAUGUUUUGAUGGACCCCGUCAGUGACAUGCUGAUAAGGACUAGAGAUGGGUGACAUUGGUUCCCAAAAGUUGUGUGCAGAAUGAAGUCAGUUUUGGCAACCCUGCUAUGGCAUGUUUUAAAACGUUAAAGCAGAAGCAGACAAAGCCAGAAACUCGCCAUCGUCCCAAAAAUAGAACCAGAAAUGACGUCUGCCAGAAUUCUAAAAACUGGUUCAAUGGAAUAAAAGAUUAAGAAUUGAGAAAAUUAGAUAUCUAUGUCCACAGAGAUCUCCUUUGGAAGAAGAUUGGUGAAUGGAGACAAUAUGCACAUACUGGUAACUAUAGCGAUAGUAGUGAAGGACACAAGGUCAGAUUCUGAUAACAAGGUCACUGAACUUUAAACACAGUGUGUUUCCUGUAGGUCAAGAUGUUGACUGUUAUUAGUGCUACACAGUACUUUAGUAGUACAUGUACUUUGUCAAUUUAAGGCAUAUCUUGCGUCACAGAGUGCAGAAAAUAGUAUUUUGCAACUCGGCAGAAAAUACUCAUUGACCUUGAGUAGACGGUCCAGCCCUGUUGAUAGAGUGAAGGACAGAUCCUUGACACCUCUCUACAUUUCCCUCCACUAAGUAGAGGGUAAGCCAUUGCACUUGGUGUAUAAAUGGAAAUGGAGGAAAGAACGAGGAUAUAAAAUAAACAAAUGUGGCCGCAAACAAAUGAGGACUUGAUCCUGGGACCACUGGCUAUAUCACACAGGCUCCGCUUGGCUGAUGUGAUGGGGCACCUGUUAGUAUCAGUUGACCUUUGCCAGUGACCAAUGCUAUACCAACAUUGUAAUAGAAGACUAUAAAGCUAGCCAUAGUGUAAUAGAAGACUGCAAAGCUACACCAUAUUGUAAUAGAAGACUGCAAAGCUAUGCCAUAUUGUAAUAGAGGACUGCUAAGCUACACCAUAUUGCAUAAGAAGUCUGCAAAGCUAUACCAUAUUGUAAUAGAAGACUGCAAAACCACGCCAUAUUGUAAUAGAAGACUGCAAAGCUACAUCAUAUUGUAAUAGGAAACUGCAAAGCUACAGCAUAUGGUAAUAGGUGACUGCAAAACUACAUCAUAUGGUAAUAGAAGACUGCAAAGCUACACCAUAUGGUAAUAGAAGACUGCAAAGCUACACCAUAUUGUAAUAGCAGACUGCAAAGCUACACCAUAUGGUAAUAAAAGACUGCAAAACUACGUCAUAUGGUAAUAGA